rnacentral:tRNA from 1 species
GCGGCUGUAGUGUAGUGGCCUAGCACGCGAGCCUGCCACGCUUGCAACCCGGGUUCAAAUCCCGGCAGCCGCA